UACGUGGGGUGCAAGCGUUGUUCGGAAUUACUGGGCGUAAAGCGCUCGCAGGUGGCUAACUAAGUCAGACGUGAAAUCCCCCGGCUUAACCGGGGAACUGCGUCUGAUACUGGAUGGCUUGAGUUCGGGAGAGGGAUGUGGAAUUCCAGGUGUAGCAGUGAAAUGCGUAGAUAUCUGGAGGAACACCGGUGGCGAAGGCGGCAUCCUGGACCGACACUGACGCUGAGGAGCGAAAGCCAGGGGAGCAAACAGG
rnacentral:rRNA from 1 species